rnacentral:lncRNA from 1 species
CGCAGGUAUCGUGUUAGGGGGCAACUAGGCAAAAGAAGGAAAAAUAUCUAUAGCAAACGGGUUUUGUGUGGACUCGGCUGAAUAAUCUGUUUAUCCCCUUUCUCUCUCUAGAUUAUCUCCUCACUCGCACCUCACCCCAGCUUCGUUCAAUUCAAUUCCGCAAUUCUGCAAUUCGCAAAACCAGCCUCCAUAGAUAUUUGUCUGACCUGGACACCAUCAUUUCAGAAAAGAAAUACUACUAGUGAAGGAAAAAGGGAAUGCGAAUCUUUUUGAUUCCCUGCCCUGCUGCUACUUACUACUGCUAUUAGCUAAAUUCAACUAAUCAUACUCUGCUUUCUUUCCAUUCCUAACCUUAUAGUUAAUUGGAGGUCAAUGAGAAUUGGAUUGUGGUUGUUUGAAUGUUUUGAGCACCGUUCUGUGCGUGCCUUGCUGUGUUUCCACACCGAUGCUUCCAAAUAGAUAUGGCUUCCGCAUCCUGUAUGUCAGGUCUGUCUCCCCGCCUUCCUGCCUGCCUUGUUUCUUUAGCAUUGGUUUUUAUUUCGUAGUAGUAAUUUAUUUAUUUAAGGGUAAUAUGCUAUUCCCUCCCAUCCCAUCCCCUUGAUACGACCUGAUUGAUUGUUGUUUAGCCCAUGCAGUUCCGGUAGAAUGUGUGAACGUUUGUAAGUUGUGGAAAGGCAGCGAUGUGAGUGGAAGAUAUGAGUGCAGUGUGCUGUCGUGUGCGUGGAAGGCUCCCAGAGCAUUGACUGGUUUCCUUGCCAGUACCGCGCAUCCUUCUCCUCUUCAGCUGUCCACUCCAUAUAGGAGAAGAUAUCGCUUCACAUGUGUAAGUUUUAUUAGAAGUAUUAUCCAAUUCUGGUUUUUGUUGCUUUGGAGCUGGAUCACUAUUGACUUAAGAUGUGUAAGUUCUAUUGGAUUGUCGAAUUUUGGCACUUUUUGUUCCGGAGCUAAAUAACUUUUCGUGUACUUUUUCUUCCUAGCUGCACUCUAACCAAUUUAUUGGAUUUUCUUGGAAUCAGCUAUUGUUCUCUCUACGAUUUGGUCGAAAGUUCUUCUGGGUGAAGUAUGGCAAGUUUCUAUCAUGACAUGAUUGUUUUGGUGUUGCUUAGAGUUCUGUAGCAUUAGGAGAAUUUCUUCGGAAGUCCAAGUACUUUUGAUGGCAAAACUUGUCAUACGCAUUCCGUUGGUUUUGGCUGGUCAACAAACUGAGAAUACCUGUAUACAUUUGAUUCGACUGUAAUGGGAUAUUAUGUUAUACUCUUUUUUUUCUUUGGGGAUAUUAUUAAUAGGUGAAGUAGAUAGCAGGUAAUAUUAAAGCUUACAUGUUAUUUUACUGUCUAUGGGAUGUCCUUUUGCUUUACUAUCUUAGUUUACAAAACAACAAGAAUGUGUGAUUCAAGGGGGAAUGAGGUACUUGGGAAACCAAGUUACAAGUCUACAUAAGCUACAUAAGCUGCAAAACCUAGCAACUUAUGUGCAGAUACAGUUUGAAAUGCUACAGAACCUUCAUAUGCACACUAUUUUAUUUUUCUUUUGAAACAAGUAUUCAUGUUGAAUUACUUCUCAUGGUGUCUGGAUCUUUUACUUGCACCAGGGAUGUGAUGCCGUGGAUUCUGGAGGUUGGUAUAUUGAUAAAACUUCACCCAUUGCACUUGUGCAAAAGUUGUUACAGUUAAGUCAACCUCAUCUUCAUUGCUGUAAGUGGAAGUUGUAUUGUUCUUCAUCCAUGUGUUCUGAAUCUUCUGAGGAGAUCUCUCCGGGAACUUUGUGGGAGGUAUAUAUUUUUCUUCGCUUGUAACUAGUCUAUAGUGUUUUCUCUAUCUAUUUGCUUUUGUACUUGUGCAAUCUCCCCAUCCUCUUGAUUCUAGAUUAUAACAAUGUUGAUAUGCUGCAAAUUUUUUGAGUGUUGGUAUCUUUUAGGCUGUAUGUUUGAAAAUUACUUGGAAAUUUAUUUUUGACAAUAUCUUUAAUGCCAAAAGUGUUUGGGAAUCUAAGGCUGUACAUUUGUGGGAAAAGACGUCCUUGUAAAUUUAUUUUUGAUAAUACAUUUUGAUGCCUGAUUCUUGUUAGAAUGUUAGAAAUAACUCAAACCUGUACACCUUUACUAGAUUCAUCUCUAAUUGGAAGUGACCUGCUACCACCUUCUUUUGUAUAUGGUUGAGUUCUUGAGCUGCAAUUCAUGCAUUGUAGAAGAGUCCAGCUCUUCUCUUACAAUUUUAUGGGGCAUUGUCCUCUGCCCUUUUGUUAUAUAUCUGACUCAUUCUAAGAAGUAUCCCAGAUGAUAGACAUUUGCUUUUACUUUUUAUAGUCUCAUAAUGUUGAGAUACACUAAUUCCAUUUGUACUUUUUCUGUCAGGAACUUAAGCCUACUAUCUCAUAUCUUUCUCAGAGAGAACUUGAACUGGUCCGUAGAGCUCUGGAUGUAAGUUGUCCUAUCUUAUUAAAAGUGUACACUUCCUGAACACUUCGUACGUGUCUUAUCUUGGGCUCUUAGUUACUUUGUUUUUCGAGUCUUCUCGCAUUCUCUUCCCUUCUCCUUCCCUACAAUUUGACUCACCUCAUGCCAUUGAUGGAGUUAGAUAUAGUGAGUAGCAUUUACUUGGGUCAAGAAAUGAGGCUAUUUAGACCUAUGUAUAGUACCACCACUUUUGCCUUUGUUUUCUUCCAAAAUAUAUCAAAACGAUCUCUUGCAGCUGGCUUUUGAGGCACAUGAUGGUCAAAGAAGGCGCAGUGGGGAGCCAUUUAUAAUUCACCCAGUUGCGGUUGCACAAAUUCUAGGAGAACUGGUGAGAGUUGCAAAAUUCCAAAAAGCUAAUGUAAAUUCAUUUUGAAGAAGUAUGGCACUUAAUCUGGAAUCUUCUUAUUCUACAUGUAAUCAACUUCAUUCAUGUCUACUGCAUUUUAGGAAUUGGACUGGGAGUCAAUUGCUGCUGGUUUAUUACAUGACACCGUCGAAGAUACGAAUGUUGUUACUUUUGAAAGACUAGAGGAGGAGUUUGGUGCUACUGUUCGCCAUAUUGUAGAAGGGGAGACUAAGGUUCUCAUCUCUCUCUCUCUCUUUCUCUUGCUGAUGAUAAGGUGGGAUCUGUUUUUGGAUAUGCAAGUUUUUUAUUGUAUUUGGUGCUUUAGGUGUCCAAACUUGGAAAGCUCAAGUAUAAGGAUGAAGAUAAUUCUGUACAAGAUGUCAAAGCGGAUGAUCUUAGACAGAUGUUCCUGGCCAUGACUGAGGAGGUACUGCUUAAUUACGUCUAUUCAUACUUAAUUUAGAUAUUUUAUAUGGUUUAGCAGACCCUGACAUUUAAAAUCACUACCUUGCAGGUUCGAGUUAUUAUAGUCAAAUUAGCAGACAGGUUACACAAUAUGCGUACUCUUUCGCAUAUGCCUCCACAUAAGCAGGUGGUGCUGAUAUAGUAUUAUAUUUAUCCGUUCAUUCCUAUUGUUAUUUCUUGAUGCAUGCAACUUUUCAUUUUUGAAUUGCCUAAUUAUGCAUUAUAUCAUCAAUUUUGUGCAGUCCAGUAUUGCCGUGGAGACACUGCAAGUGUUUGCCCCACUGUGGGAUUCCUUGCAAGAUUCCUGCAAAAUCCCCAGGCUUAUCUGAAGAGAAAAUUUGUGAAAAACAGUCUAAGAUUUCAUUGCAAGUCUCCUCCUCUCCCUCACACCAUUCCCCACUCCUCUUCUACAACACACUAAUCCUAUUUCUUUUUUCUCCUACCAGCCACCAUAGCGUGGAAAUAGCCAGUGUUUUUAUCUCCCUCAUUAAACCACUGCACCCUGGCCUUUUGACUCCAGAAAACUUCUUAUCUCUUGUAAGCCUCAGCCAACUUUUUCUUCAUAUUUAUCAAAUGUGCCCGAGAGCCUCUAUCAACCUUUUCCUUUGUCUCCUUUAUCUCUUUUUUCAACAUUUCAAUCUGUUUUUGUGAGUUUCCUGCACAUCCUCUACUUCAUUUCAACAAAUUCAUUCUAACUUGCCUAAUUUUACACUGUACUUUGUAUAGCCUGGAUCCCUGUUGCCUCUCCCCCCAUGCCUUCCUUACCACUUCCCCUAUACCCUCUUGGUGUAGUGUGUCAUGAUUCUGACUAUACAAGAAAGUGCAAUGAAGUAUGUUAUACUUCUGACUACAUAAGAAACUGAUGCCGAAUCAAUUUGUUACAGUUUUGACUACGCAAAAAAAGUGCAAUAAACUACGUGGCACGUAUGGGGCCUACCUCUAAAAUCCUAUUUUGGUUUUGAUUACACAAGUAUGAUCGAAUAUGUUAUAGUUUUGACUACACAACAAUCAAACGCUUGGGCCAAUGUGUUAUGACUCUGAGUAUACAAGAAAGUACAAUACACUGUGUGCCAUUUUCAAGGGUUACCUCCAUAAUCCUAUUAUGAUUUUGAUUACGCAAGAAAGUGCAAGAAUGUUAUGGUUCUAACUAUAUAAGAAAAUGCAAGGAAGGAAUUGAGGCCUAGGGUAGUGUGUUAUGAUUUUGACUACGCAAAAAAAGUGUAAUGAAUUGCUUGCCACGUACAAGACUCACCUCCAGAAUUUUGUUAUGGUUCUAACUAUGCAAGGAAGUGCAGAAGAAGCGCAGGGGCCAUCUCUAAAUUUCAAACAUGAUUAAGUGUUUAUGGUUCUAACUAUACAAGGACCUGACGCUUUGAGCAGUGUGUUAUGGUUUUGAAUAUGAAAAAGAGUGCAAUGAAUUACACAUCAUGCAUGGGAGCCACCUCUAGAAUCUUGUUAUGGUUCUGUCUUUGUAAGAAUGUGCAAAGAUGUUAUGGUUUUGACUGUGCAAGAAGUGCAAGGAUGUUAUGGUUCUAAUUGUGAAGAAAGUGCAAGGCUAUUAUGCUCCUAACUUACAAGGAGCUGCAUCCCGUGUACGAGAGCUAUCUCUAGAAUCCUAACAUGAUCAAACUUACAAAGGCCAUUUUCAGAGUCCAAAUAUGCGUAUUAUAGUUAUGGUUUUGACCAUAUAAGGAAGUACAAUAAAUUGUACACUAGUACAAAGGUCAUCUCCAGAGUCCUAUUAUGGUUGCGACUAUGCAAAGGGGCCACUUCACAAAUCCGAACAUGUGUGUUAUGAUUAUGAUUCUGAGUAUAUAAGGAAGUGUGAGGAAUUGUGUGCUAUAUAUGGGGUCUACCUCCAAAGUCUAAAUACAAUCAAAUAGACAAUUUGGAUUGUGACAAGUUAUGUGAUGAUGCAAAAUCCUUUUAGUAGAGGUGAAUGUGAUAUCCCAAUUCUAAUCCCACAAUAGAAAGAAUCAAAAGAGAGUAAUGGUUUAUAAGUUUAAAUCCUUGGGCUAUUUAGCAACUUUGGUUAACUAUUUUUGGCCUAUGAAUUUCGCUCAAAAGUUGCUUGGACUAACUUUUGGACCUGGGUGAUGACACUUAUUAUUAUAUGUAGUAUCAACAUAUUACAACCUUAUUUGUAUAGUAAUAUAUUUUAUUUACACAAUCUUACAAUUUGUCCGUUCUUAUUAAAAGAAUAAAUUAACCAUUCACAUAGACACACAUAUGUAUAUAUGUAUUUUAAACACUUAUUAUUACAUUUAAAUUAUACUUAGUUUAUCAUAUGAAUAGAUAUAAUAACAAUUAUUGAACCUCUGCAAUUCAACACUUUCCAAAUUAAGUAUAUUUUUUCAAAAAAUUAAGAGUCUGUCUAAUAAGCGUUUAUUGGACACUUUCUAAGAUGUAAUUCAGGCGUUAAAUUUUUAAAUGGUAAAACUUGAUUAAGGAAAGUGUAUAAAUACAAUGACAGAUAAUAAUUUGUUAGUGUGUGUAUUCACAUGGUAUAUUGAGUAUGAUUAAAAUACAUUAAAGAUUGCUCAUUGGGCAUAUGUUACACAAGCUAAAAGAAUAUAAAUAAAAGUUAGUAAAGUUAUUUACUUUUCCUAGUGAAUUUAAAGACAAAAUAAUGCAAUUGUGUAAGCAUAUUGAAAGGUAUGGAAAACUUGAGAAAUUUAAAAAUAUCUAGAAUUGUGUAUAUUAUGGUAGUUGGAGAACUGUAUAAAAUAUUGAAGCAUGAUUAAUUGGCAACAAAGAAUCUUAAUUUGUCAUUUUUUUAGUAAAAGAAUGGUCUGUCCAACGAGUGUUCACGCACUCGUUAAGAUAGAUUUCAAGUGUUUGCAUUUUGAAAAAAUAAUGUUAAUCAGAAAAAAUAUAAAACAUAAAAUUGGGUAAUAAUUGUUAGUGUAUGAAUUCAUAUAGUAGAUUAAGUGUCAUUUAGAUAUACUAAUGCAUGCCUAUUGAACACCAUUAAAAAAAUCCACAAAAAUAUUGAUAUCAAGUGAUUAUUAUUGAUAACUACAAGAUGGGUCUCAUGUGUUGAUUUUUAUAAUGUAUAAAUAAUUUCAUACGCUCAAAAAUGUUUCUAAACAAAAAUAAUAAAGUUCAAUUUGAAAUUUCUCACAUUGACUUAAGAGAUAAAUAGACACCAAAGAAAAUAAAUUUAUCUAUCCAAAGCUAAAGACACAAAUAUUUUUUUUCCUAAAACUAGGACUGCAAAAGAACUAAGCCACUUGUGAGUUAGUCAAAACUCAACUCGAUUUCGGUUAAUUUCAUGUUCGAGUCGACCAAGUUAAGUUAUCGAACUUGAGCCCAACAUAGAGAAGCUCAAUGUGUUAAUUCAUGAGUCGGCUUGGUUAGAUGUACGUACGCAUGUGUAUGUGAAUGCAUAUGUGUUUAUAUAUCCCUCAAUAUUUUUCUUUUUUACCAAAAAAAUUUGAAUAUUUUAUUCAUUUUUAAAAAUAAAAAUUACUUUUUUAUUUUUAAAAAUUCGAGUUGGAUCAAGUUCGAGCUCGACUAGAUUCAAAAAUGAAAUUAAAUUUGAAUUCAAGUUUUAUAUUGAAAAUUCAUCAAGUUCAAAUUCGAGUUUGAAUUUAACAAAAUUGAGUGGAAACUUAAUUCGAUCAAAUAAAAAAUCAACUCGUUUUCAGCUUUACGUAGACUAUAUUGCAAAGAUGUCUAUACUAUAUAUAAAAGGAGAAACAGCGGAUUGGGAUAAACAUUUUUUGCCACUUUAUAUACUUUCAGUACUUUCAAUUUACUCUCGUUAAAAUCACUUAUUACUUUACCAUCUAAACACAAAUUGCUAAAAUAACUAUAUGUAAUUAUUUUUAAUCAUAACUAAUCUAAACAAUCAUGACAGAAUGAUUGCCUCUAACUCUCUACUAAGCACUGUAACUAGGAAAACUGUCAUAUUUGAUGGAAGGAUAGGUUAAAAUACAACAAUUUGCUUUAGUAAUGAAAAUAUUAUACAAAAUUAAUUGGCAAAAAUGCACCUGAAUUACGCAGGUAUCGUGUUAGGGGGCAACUAGGCAAAAGAAGGAAAAAUAUCUAUAGCAAACGGGUUUUGUGUGGACUCGGCUGAAUAAUCUGUUUAUCCCCUUUCUCUCUCUAGAUUAUCUCCUCACUCGCACCUCACCCCAGCUUCGUUCAAUUCAAUUCCGCAAUUCUGCAAUUCGCAAAACCAGCCUCCAUAGAUAUUUGUCUGACCUGGACACCAUCAUUUCAGAAAAGAAAUACUACUAGUGAAGGAAAAAGGGAAUGCGAAUCUUUUUGAUUCCCUGCCCUGCUGCUACUUACUACUGCUAUUAGCUAAAUUCAACUAAUCAUACUCUGCUUUCUUUCCAUUCCUAACCUUAUAGUUAAUUGGAGGUCAAUGAGAAUUGGAUUGUGGUUGUUUGAAUGUUUUGAGCACCGUUCUGUGCGUGCCUUGCUGUGUU